AAAGAGGUGUUUCCCCUCCCCGCAGGAGCAGCUGUUCCUCGCGUCGCCUGCCGGUGAAAAGCAGCUCCCUGCCGGCUGCAGGAGCAGCAGCAGCCGGCAGGGAGCUUCCCGCGUGUCCCGCUCGGCUCGGCUCGGCUCGGCAACCAAGCACGACCGGGGAAUUACUUACACCCCGAGAAGGUGUUUAGCAACUACAUGGAACGUAUUCGCAGCGUGUAAAAUAAUUAGACACGAAUGUCGUUCGCCCCGCGUAGCGGCUCCUCGCGAGGGACCCGCCAUGUUCACCCGCACGGCGAGCAGCGUGGCUCGUUUGAACUUUAACACAAUUGGAAGCAGCGCGAUUUGUUGUUGUUGGAUGGUUUAUUCACAAUCCAGCCCGCUGAGGGCUCGUUUUAGCCCGUCCUCAUUUUAAAGCCUCAAUCAAAGGCAGAGGUCUGGAUCAAAGUGAGUUAAUGAAGUUUGCAGGAGGUGUUGAGGAGAGGAGCGCUGGUAAAUCCUGGCCAGGGAGAGACGGCUGUGCAAGGCUUCAUAUCACAUCACAGAUCCAGCAAUAACAUUCAUGAAUAUUCCUCCUUUUCACCAUUCCUUGUCGAUCCCUCACAAGGUCACGGUUGGCCAUCUGUGCUGCGUCCAGGCUUUGAAGCCCGCCAGCGAAAUUGUUACAGCAGCAAAUAGAAUUGUUUUUCUUUCAACACAGAAAUGCAGAUUUUUAAUGUCAAGGCCAGUUUGAUAUAUUUGCAGCAGACAAGUCUAAAGGACAGCGGAGCAUAAAAGGAUUGUUGAGAUUACGAGUUUGACGUUGGAAUCUUUAAAAUGUUUUAUGGUGCUUCAAAAUAGCGCUCUGUAGACUCCUCGUCUUUUUCUGGCAUGCUGUGAGAGAUGUGAAAGAAGUCUGUAUUUCUGAAGGCUAUUGAGUUCUAAAAAACCUUACAAAAAUUAAAUAAAUGGC
ensembl:lncRNA